rnacentral:rRNA from 1 species
UACAGAGGGGGCAAGCGUUGUUCGGAAUUACUGGGCGUAAAGGGCUCGUAGGCGGCCAACUAAGUCAGACGUGAAAUCCCUCGGCUUAACCUGGGAAUUGCAGUCGAUACUACUCAGCUAGAGUAUGGGAGAGGGUAGUGGAAUUCCCGGUGUAGCGGUGAAAUGCGUAGAUAUCAAGAGGAACACCUGAGGUGAAGACGGGUUGCUGGGCCAACACUGACGCUGAUGCGCGAAAGCCAGGGGAGCAAACGGG